AUGUAAGCUGCAUAAAUAGAUUUCUUUUCUUGGUCACAAGUUUUACUUAUAGCCUCAUAUGGUAAUUUUCUUCAGUGGCUAGUCCUAUGUUUUGUAUUAUAUACGAAAAGGCAUUAUCCAUGGGGCCACCAUGGCAGCCAUGAUUGCCUUCCACAGCACAGUCCAAUAGUCAGACAUAGAGAUUAAGUUGUCAGUUUUGAUUUGGAUGAUCCCUUCUACUGCUGCCACUGCUGAAAAGGCCCAGCAACAUUCUGCAUGCAUAAAAAUCAACCAUAACAGAAAUCUUGUUAGGACAACAAGAAGUGCGGGAGUUGAAAAUAAAAUUUUGAGUUUCAGAUAAUGCGAUCCUCUUACCCUAGUGGUCUUGUUUCCUAAUGGAUGUAAUAUGUUAAGAAUAAUAAGGAAACAAUUCAUUCUAACUGUAAGGAGCCACUGCCAGCACCAGAUUGGGAUCAAUAUGGCAAGACAUAGUCAACGGCACUAUUGCAUAUUUUGCCUCUAUAUAGUUUAUCAUUAUUUUAGGGAUUUGAUAUAGUAGACUUGCCGUGUAUAGAUUCAAUUGCCUUGUACAGGUUCUUCUUGCAUUAUAUAAAAGUCAGUGAACCCUUCCCAACAAUUCAAGUUGAGUGUUUCUCCAUUAUCUCUCUCAAGGUUUUAACAAACCAUUUCAUAAUAGCUCCUUUCUCUCUCCAAUCCAUAGUCAUUGGAAUUCUGGUCAGGUCUUUGUACUUGAAUGUUAUUGUUUCGAGAGAAUUUGUUUGGUUGGAAAUCUUGUUUCCAGCAGGAGAGGAAACGGAUUCUUCAUUUGUUAAGUCUGCAAAUUCAUUGGCACAUAGCUUGAAAGUCUGAUUCCCUUCAUUAUUGAGUUUGUCUAUGUAUUCUAUGUUGUCCUUGAAAUACUUUUCUCUCUGUAUUGUCUAGAUGGUUGCAUCCAUACUGAGCCAUCCAUUGCUCAUGUCUCUCAACAAGGGAAGCUUCAAGCAAUGUGCGGGACAUGGCUUGAGAUAUCAGUCCCCAGAAUAAAUAAUGACUGUGAUAAGUUUGUUUCCGCGUUUUAAAGCCAUUAAUUUACAAGAAGAGGGUUCUUUGGCAAUAACUUUGGAAGAUUGAUAAAUGAAUACACAUGAACUUGAGAGUUCUGGCAAGACAUCAAUCUAUAAAUUUAGUAUUGCUGUCAAUGCAUCCAAGUUGUAUCCAUUAAUUUAUUCCGGAGUGUUCUGGACUGAUGUUGAUGAGUGAUGACUAGCGAUUCUUGCAGUUGUUCUUUCCUAGUUUUUCAUUUUCAAUUCAUGUAGUUGCUCAUAUGUUUGUCAGGUUAUAGGAUUAAUACCCUCUUUUAAGUUCUUAGGUGACUUUAACAGUUAA